rnacentral:rRNA from 1 species
GAUGAACGCUGGCGGCGUGCCUAAUACAUGCAAGUCGAGCGAACGGACGAGAAGCUUGCUUCUCUGAUGUUAGCGGCGGACGGGUGAGUAACACGUGGAUAACCUACCUAUAAGACUGGGAUAACUUCGGGAAACCGGAGCUAAUACCGGAUAAUAUUUUGAACCGCAUGGUUCAAAAGUGAAAGACGGUCUUGCUGUCACUUAUAGAUGGAUCCGCGCUGCAUUAGCUAGUUGGUAAGGUAACGACUUACCAAGGCAACGAUGCAUAGCCGACCUGAGAGGGUGAUCGGCCACACUGGAACUGGGACACGGUCCAGACUCCUACGGGAGGCAGCAGUAGGGAAUCUUCCGCAAUGGGCGAAAGCCUGACGGAGCAACGCCGCGUGAGUGAUGAAGGUCUUCGGAUCGUAAAACUCUGUUAUUAGGGAAGAACAUAUGUGUAAGUAACUGUGCACAUCUUGACGGUACCUAAUCAGAAAGCCACGGCUAACUACGUG